rnacentral:rRNA from 1 species
UAGAUACCCUGGUAGUCCACGCCGUAAACGAUGUCGACUUGGAGGUUGUUCCCUUGAGGAGUGGCUUCCGGAGCUAACGCGUUAAGUCGACCGCCUGGGGAGUACGGCCGCAAGGUUAAAACUCAAAUGAAUUGACGGGGGCCCGCACAAGCGGUGGAGCAUGUGGUUUAAUUCGAUGCAACGCGAAGAACCUUACCUACUCUUGACAUCCACAGAAUUCGGCAGAGAUGCCUUAGUGCCUUCGGGAACU